CAAUAGCGAAUAUUUAAGUUGUUGCAGUUAAAAAGCUCGUAGUUGGAUUUCGGUUAAGAGCGACCGGUCCGCCGUUUGGUGUGCACUGGUUGGUUUUAACUUCCUGUAGAGGACGUGCUCUGGGUUUAACGACCUGGACUCGGAGUCUACGUGGUUACUUUGAAAAAAUUAGAGUGUUCAAAGCGGGCUUACGCUUGAAUAUUUCAGCAUGGAAUAACACUAUAGGACUCCUGUCCUAUUUCGUUGGUCUCGGGACGGGAGUAAUGAUUAAGAGGAACAGUUGGGGGCAUUCGUAUUUCAUUGUCAGAGGUGAAAUUCUUGGAUUUAUGAAAGACGAACUUCUGCGAAAGCAUUUGCCAAGGAUGUUUUCAUUAA
rnacentral:rRNA from 1 species